CCCCUCUGAGCAGGGAGCCUGACUCGGGGCUCGAUCCCAGGACCCCAGAAUGAUGACCUGAGCCGAAGGCAGACGCUCAACUGACUGCGCCACCCAGGUGCCCCUUGACUUAAUUUUUGUACAUGGGGAGAGAUACUAGUUGAGGCUUUGUGUAUGACAGUCCCGUUAUUCUGGGCACCACUUCUUCAAGCAUCACCCCCUCUGCACUGCACCUCCUUGGCAGGAAAUCAGUCGGCACCUCGGCAACAGAAGGUCUUCCGGUCCGUGAGCACGAUGCACCCUCACACACAGGCCCUCUUCAACUCUCCACUGUCUCGGUGCUGACAGUACACAGAUCUAUGCAUGUUUGGUUAGAUCCAGCCUUAAGUAUUUCAUGUGCUUUUGGUGCAUUUUAAAUGGUACAUUAAAAAAUCUCAAUUUGUAAUUGCUCACUGCUAGUAUAUAAAAAUACAAGUAAUUUUUGUAUAUGGGCGUUAUGAUGUGCUAUCUUGGUAAAUUCACUUCUUAAACAUUACUAUUUUUUUUUUUUAGUAGAGCCUUUGGGAUUUUCUAUGAAGAUAAUCAUAUCCUCCACCAAAAAGACAGUUUUAUUUCUUCUUCUCCAGCUUGUAUGCCUUUUAUUUCUCUUUUCUUGUGUUAGUGCCCUGGCUAGUUCUGCGUGGAAAGACAGGACACCUCCUCUCCCUGCUCCAAACAUUACAAGGAACUUACUCAUUGUUUCCUAUGAAGUAUCAUGUUAACAGCAGGAUUUUUCAAAGAUGUCCUUACUAGGCUGCACAAACUCUUUUACUCCUAGUUUACUGAGAGAUUUUAUCAGAAACAGACGCUGGAUUUUUGCCAAGUGUUUUUCCCCAUGAAGCUCCUGCAAUGAUCAUAUGGAUUUCCCCCUAUAGUCUGCAGGAAAUUACAUCGAUCGAUUUACAACUGUCAAACCAACCUUCCAUUCCUGGGUUGAUGCGAGUUCACUUACUGUUCUUCUUAUUGGGGAGCAUUCUCAUCUGGUCUGCAAGGUGUUCCCGGGUACGUCCUCCAAGGGGAACGCAGGUCCGUCUGCCGUGCCCCCCACCAUGCUGCUGGCUGUGCCCUGGGAGCUGGAGCGCGAGCGGGAGUUGUUCAGUGUUUGCACGGACGUCGCUUUGGAUCUCUGGCCUCUCCUGACCAGGGCUUCUCUUUGUCUUCUCUGUACUAACAGGACAUACAUACAAAGCUGCUGUAUGUAUGUAUCUAUAGAAACGGUCAGGUCUUUGGCUCAGAAUUAUCUCAGGAGCAGGGAACACACAGCCCCCUGCCUUCUCCAUCAGUGAGGCCCUCUAACUCAGGCAGAGGGCAGAGGUGGGGUGCACGUCUUUUCUUGUUCCUGGGGGAUGCUCUCUGUGAUGGUGGGCCAUCUAGCACCCCUCGCCCUGUAUCCGUGGCCCACAGAACACAAAAUUGUCCUGGUGCUCAGGUAUGGGUUCUUUAGUAAGGAAGUUUCCAGUGCUACUGCUUGAUUUGAUCUGUUUUGGCAGUUUUGUCAGUACUGGAAUAAAACGUGGGGAAAGUGGUUUAUCAAAUCCUCCUUGUGUGCUGCCAUGUUCCUCCGGAAGCUGCUGCCUGACGUUCUAACAGCAUGUAAUGCUGAGAGAUCAUUCUCUGAAAUGUAAAGGAAAAUGAAAAUGAAGGCCACUUAUAUUGUGAAGAAAUGCAACUGUGAUACCAGGGACUCAGAAACAAGAACAUUCUACUUAAAUUACAUUCUUUCUCAAGACGAAGAGAACACAAGAGCCAUAAACACGUAGGGAUUGUAAGAGCAGAGUGUUGAUGCAGAAUGGACAAAACCAGUGACAUCUCUGAAAUGAUAAUGUUGCUUAUUAACCAUCCAUGUUGUGAUAGGUCAAAGCUGAGGUCAAACAGAAAACAUCAACUGAGCCAUUUCCCUGAAUAAAGCUCCAGGGUGCAAUAUUCUAAGCACUUUAUUCAAUAAAAAAUGCUUUUAAAACGGUGCUUUGGUGAUGGGGAAGCAUUGCCAUCAUCCGUCAACCUAACUGCAGCAAAGUUCAAUAAGCUAAAUAAUGAACCAUUUAGAUUAUUUUCCUUGGGCCUUAGGGAUUUGCAAACGUUGCAUCAAUAGAGCUCUUUAAAACUUAUGAUGAACUCUAUUUUCUUCAUUUUCAGAUUUAGACUAUGUGUUAGGGAUUUUUUUUAAGGUUAUUUAAAUGGGCUGCUACUUUUAAUCAUUGUCCAAUCUCCAAAGUAGAAAGAAAUUUUAAACAAGGAAAAAACUCAAUUAUAAGAUUGGCAGUUUCUAUUUGAUUCCGGUAAUCUUGGAAUUGAUGAGACCCCUCUCUAUUGUGCAUACCUAAGAUUUAAAAAGUGUUAUGAAUUAUAUAAAAACCUAAAGAUGAAAAAUUCCAUGUAUUUUCAAUAAAAUUUAUAUUUACUUUUGGCAGGUAACAAGGUAAACAUGUAAUAUAGUAUUUUUACAACUUCUAAUAAGAUUUUUCUUGAGAAACAUCUGUGGUCUCAGUUUCCUAUGCUUAAGACUGGGAAAUAGUCCUUUUUCAAUAUAUAAUCACGUGCAAUUUUUGAGAAUUUCUAGACUGUUAUAUAAUACAGAAAAAAAUGUGUUCAAUCCUUUCUUUGUAUGAAAAGGAACAUGGCCCCUUUCCUUUAAAGGGCCGUGACCAGGGGCCCACAUCUGUUUCAAAGCAUCUAAUGGAAUGCUAAGAUGGCAAUUUAUACAUCAUCUAAAUCUUAGCUCUUCCUCUUAGCAGUUUCUCCUAGAUUUCCUAUUACCAAAUAAAAAUAUGUGCUACAUACACGAUUCCCAAAGCCGCAUGCAGUUUGGCCACAACAGAUGUCUCCAUAUUUAGUGGUCAACACAAUCUACAGAGUGUACCAGGGGUGCUAAUGAAGUCCCAUCCCCUGACCAGCAGACUCCAGACCAAGCACACCGAGGAGGAGAGCGGGAGAGAUGGCGGAACUGGGCCUCCCCACGUGCCCCAAGCCCGCCUCCCCGUGAUGAGCCGGCUGCGCUGCGCAGUUCCUCAACCACCUGCCACACCGCGGCCAGUCCCCGUGUUCACAGGCCGUGCCGGUGAUCCUGAGAAGAGCUGGGUGACGCUGGGACUCCACAGUGAUGGGGGUUCGCCAUCACAAGGUCAUCAGGCAGCAGAACGGGGAAAGACCUUUUACUGCGAGACUUGAGACUCGGCCUGGCUAUGGACUCCAGGGCUCGGGCUCCUGCUUGAACAUCAAGGCCUGAUACUCCCAGGAAACUGGUUUCUAGAUAAAUACCACGGACAGCUCCCUCCUUUCUACCCUAGGCAGGGCAAUCCCAGCACCUCCCUGCAGCCUGGGCCUCAAGGGUCCCGCUGAGACCUGCACACACGCGCCGGGGGGUGGGGGGGUGGGGUGGCGGAGGGCGGUGGCUGAGACCCGGACACCCGUGUGGGGGGCGGUCCGGGUGAGACCCUCACAGGGCACAAAAGAAGACAAGAGUCUGAGGAGGUCGAGAAAGAGCACUACCCCUCCCCUCAAACACCUGUGGCACCACACCACACCCAAAACGUGCCAGGUCGACCCACACAAGCUGCUAUGAAGGUGAUGGUUCAGGAUCAAACAGGCUUUGAGAUCCUUCUUUGUCUUCAGCCUCUUUCAUUCUUUUCAGUUUAAUUUAAAAACUAAUUAUAGGAAUAAUAAAGUUACUGUAAAAAUGUCUACUAGUAAUACAACAGUGUUUAAGAGUGGAAGUUCCCUUUACCCCAGCCCUGACGAGCCCACUGUCAGCUGGUUGUGAACCAACAAGAGCAUCCUGGGUGGGGUGCAGGCAGAGGCGUGGGGAGAAGUUGGGGUGCAUGGGAAUGAUUUGAGCACAGCUCCCUGAACGCUUCAUGUCUGGGAGGCACUCUGAGCCCCACGCAAGCUGUGUGACCCGCAGUGUGCCUGGGACACUGGGGGUGCAUCAGCAGGUCUGCUCCAGCUAAAUCACCCCUGAGCUGACCCUCCGCAGUGGAGGGGGCCCAGGGCCGCAGGGGUGUGGCAGGCAGCUGCGGGGGCUGGGGGGGGAGGGAAGACAGGGAGGUGUCUCCAUGUGAGCGAGCACUGAGGGGAGGCUGGAGCUAGUGAAACCGGUCUCAGCUUUCCACGUUUAAAGAAAAACUGAACUUUCAUCUUUUUGGCUGUUUUUCCCCUGAGUAAUGACAUGUCAUAAUUUCUAAAGUAGCUUGUUUUGGUUACCGUGGGAUAAUUUCCUGACUAAAUAAAUAAGGCAGUGCCUAUGUAACUACCUCUUCAAAAAUAAAUUUGGUUUUCAAAUAAUACAGCGGUGCAUAAAGCUUAGUAAAACACCAAGCGUCUGCUGGUGCACUUCGGGUUUCUUGCUACUGUUCUUCGUCAUGAUGAAGUCAGAACAAGGUAAAGGGGUCCCAAGUCUCUGUCUCCACCGUGCGGCCUGUGGGGGGCACUGUGGAGGGACCACGCACACCGGCACUCCCCACCUGCUCCGCCGAGGUGCUUCCCGCACACCAUAGGGAGCGCCCAGGAGGACUCACAAGACUCAGUGGUUCUCAGCUAUGGGGGCCCCUUAGUGCGUUCCCAGAAUGGAGAAGCACCGGCUCCACACCAGGCCCAGCAAUCAGCACUUCUGGAACCAAGCCCAGGUACAGAAAAAGGCAGAUACACAAAAAAGACUGAAGAAAACAAAAUUGUCAGUCCCCGUGCCACGCAGACAGGAUGAAGGGUGCCGGUGUGUCCCCUGUGGCUCCCAGGAGACGGCAGACAUGGACUGAGGGUGCCUCUGGGAACGAAACCCAUCAGGAUGGUCGCAAGCAGCUUUCGAGGAAUGAACAGGCAGGACUGGCUGCUCCCAGCUGCAGGGAAGCAGGACACGAGCCCCUGCAAGCCGGCACCCACAACACACAACUACACAGUCCUCUCUGGCCCAGGUCCCAAGCCGGCUCUAGCUACGACUCACAGAACGCCUUUCCUAACACGGGAAACUCACAGAUUUAUCUUCUGACCUCUUAAUUAAUUUUAUUCAGCACAACAGGGACGCUCUUGUCAGCGCUGCAGACUCUGCAGUACACGUUACUCCCCAGCACCUUGGCGCUCUUGGUUUCAUGCUGUGGUUCCCAGCGGCAGCCUAAGGCCCCAGCCCUCCAGCCUCCCCGACACAGAUAUCUCAGGGGAAAGCGGCGCCCAAGUUCCUUGCUGUGAUGUCAUUACAGAAGGACCUCGCUCUUCCGAAAUACUCGUUUACGAGAAUCACUGGGCUCCUCUCUUUAAAACAUUAGAUCAGAUUUUUCUUUUUUAAACUGUGAUGGAUGGUACUUUUUGGGAGUUAUUACAUGAUCCAAUUUCAUACAGUAUUUAAAAAAAAAAAAGAAGGUUGUUUGCUUAUAUUGCUUCCAUGGUUGGUUGGAUUACAGAAUCAUCUCAAGAACCUUGACUACAAGGGAGGGCAUAAGAAAACGUUAUUUAAAAUAUACUGGCUGAACAGGAAUUGGGCAAAUUAUUUUAACAAUGACUUUUAUCAAUCUAAAAAUAAAAGAAAUGGGGGCGCCUGGGUGGCUCAGUCGGUUAAGUG